rnacentral:tRNA from 1 species
UCCUGUGGCUGAGAGGUUAAAGCGUCUGCCUGCAAUGCAGGAGACCUGGGUUCGAUCCCUGGGUCGGGAA